rnacentral:rRNA from 1 species
UACAGAGGGGGCAAGCGUUGUUCGGAAUUACUGGGCGUAAAGGGCGCGUAGGCGGCCCGCUAAGUCGAACGUGAAAUCCCUGGGCUCAACCCAGGAACUGCGUCCGAUACUGGCAGGCUUGAAUCCGGGAGAGGGAUGUGGAAUUCCAGGUGUAGCGGUGAAAUGCGUAGAUAUCAGGAAGAACACCGGUGGCGAAGGCGGGUCUCUGGGCAGUAACUGACGCUGAGGAGCGAAAGCGUGGGGAGCGAACAGG